GACGAACGCUGGCGGCGUGCUUAACACAUGCAAGUCGAACGGAAAGGCCCUGCUUUUGUGGGGUGCUCGAGUGGCGAACGGGUGAGUAACACGUGAGUAACCUGCCCUUGACUUUGGGAUAACUUCAGGAAACUGGGGCUAAUAACGGAUAGGAGCUCCUGCUGCAUGGUGGGGGUUGGAAAGUUUCGGCGGUUGGGGAUGGACUCGCGGCUUAUCAGCUUGUUGGUGGGGUAGUGGCUUACCAAGGCUUUGACGGGUAGCCGGCCUGAGAGGGUGACCGGACACAUUGGGACUGAGAUACGGCCCAGACUCCUACGGGAGGCAGCAGUGGGGAAUAUUGCACAAUGGGCGGAAGCCUGAUGCAGCAACGCCGCGUGCGGGAUGACGGCCUUCGGGUUGUAAACCGCUUUCGCCUGUGACGAAGCGUGAGUGACGGUAAUGGGUAAAGAAGCACCGGCUAACUACGUG
rnacentral:rRNA from 1 species